CAAACCAAUAGCCUCAUACAUGCUAUGCAAGUGCUCAACAACUGACUAACAUCCUCAGCUCCUCAAAAUAUUCUUCACAAUAUAAUUUUUAGAAAGUAUUUUAGUAAUUGUCUAGCAUAGGCAUUAUGUGUUCAUUAGCCCAGAAGAAUGGAGUCGGCUGUCUAUGUGCUGAGACCUCUGAAACGGUGUCGCAGUCACCAUCAGGAGAAGGACAAGCACACAGAGCUUUACCUCCUGUUUGUAUGACAUCCUAUCCAAUCCCACUCCUGAUUACAGAUGUCCUUACAUAUGUCCUCUGGAACUUCUAAAGGGCUUGCAUGGGAUCUGAGUGCAAGGGAUACUUUUUGGGACCAGUAACCUCUGGAAACAUCUGAACAAGUACUGUAAUGGGAAGUAGUAUUUAGUUCACUGACAUAGGAUGUUAAUAUUUCUUCUUUUUCCUCCUGUGUAUUGUU